CAGGCAGGAAGGUCUACAGAGGUGGGCAGAGGGCUCUACUGCGGGUAUAAAGUUGUAAAACGGGCAGGAAGGUCUACAGAGGUGGGCAGAGGGCUCUACUGCGGGUAUAAAGUUGUAAAACAGGCAGGAAGGUCUACAGAGGUGGGCAGAGGGCUCUACUGCGGGUAUAAAGUUGUAAAACAGGC